AAAGAAAUAUUAUAAAAAAGCUUCUAACUUUUAAUUAAGCACAAAUAUGUUUAU
rnacentral:tRNA from 1 species